AACGAACGCUGGCGGCAGGCUUAACACAUGCAAGUCGAACGCAUCCUUCGGGGUGAGUGGCAGACGGGUGAGUAACGCAUGGGAACGUGCCCUUCAGUUCGGGAUAACCCAGGGAAACUUGGGCUAAUACCGGAUACGUGCGAGAGCAGAAAGAUUUAUCGCUGAAGGAUCGGCCCGCGUCUGAUUAGCUAGUUGGUGGGGUAAUGGCCCACCAAGGCGACGAUCAGUAGCUGGUCUGAGAGGAUGAUCAGCCACAUUGGGACUGAGACACGGCCCAAACUCCUACGGGAGGCAGCAGUGGGGAAUAUUGGACAAUGGGCGCAAGCCUGAUCCAGCCAUGCCGCGUAAGUGAUGAAGGCCUUAGGGUUGUAAAGCUCUUUCGUCCGGGACGAUAAUGACGGUACCGGAAGAAGAAGCCCCGGCUAACUUCGUGCCAGCCGCCGCUGUAA
rnacentral:rRNA from 1 species